GUUUGGUGGCGAUAGCGAAGAGGUCACACCCGUUCCCAUACCGAACACGGAAGUUAAGCUCUUCAGCGCCGAUGGUAGUCGGGGGUUUCCCCCUGUGAGAGUAGGACGCCGCCAAG
rnacentral:rRNA from 1 species